rnacentral:rRNA from 1 species
AUACGUAGGGGGCGAGCGUUGUCCGGAAUUACUGGGCGUAAAGGGUGCGUAGGCGGCUUUUUAAGUUGGAUGUGAAAUACCCGGGCUUAACUUGGGGGGUGCAUUCAAAACUGGAGGGCUAGAGUUCAGGAGAGGGAAGCGGAAUUCCUAGUGUAGCGGUGAAAUGCGUAGAUAUUAGGAGGAACACCAGUGGCGAAGGCGGCUUUCUGGACUGACACUGACGCUGAUGCACGAAAGCGUGGGGAGCAAACAGGAUUAGAUACCCUGGUAGUCCACGCUGUAAACGAUGAAUACUAGGUGUAGGGGGUAUGAACUCCCCCUGUGCCGUAGCAAACGCAAUAAGUAUUCCGCCUGGGGAGUACGGCCGCAAGGUUGAA